rnacentral:sRNA from 1 species
GUUUAGCCCUGAUUGAAAUGGCAUCCUUUUUAUGUCAGUUCGAGUAAAUUUAUGAAGAAUGAAUAAAUUUGUAUCGAGAACAAAUAAAAAGAUAUAAUGGAAAGCAGGAAGUGGC